rnacentral:tRNA from 1 species
GGGGUUGUGGCUCAGUGGUAGAGUGCUUGCCUACCAUGCAUGGGGAACUGGGUUCAAUCCUCAGCACCACA